rnacentral:lncRNA from 1 species
GUGUGUUUUGUAACAAGACUGCGGCUGAGCAGCGGAGAGAAAGGCUGCCAGAGCUGGCUGGGAUUGUGCUUUUUGGUGCCACCUCUUCUAGGAAGGAACAGGGAAGUGGAGUUUGUUCUUCUCCUGAGGUAGGCUGAACACAGCAUAAGUGCAGAGAAGGCCUUGAACAACAGCAUAGGGCAAGCAGCCAAAGACAGAAUGGGAGCAUGAAGCAUGAAGAUAAACAGAAGUUUUGCUCCUGAGAGGAGGAAGUUUUGCUCCUUUAUGAAGGAAGACUUCCAAAGUUAAGACCUAGAAAAAAAGAAAGCAGGAUACCCAGAAGGAACUGUGUGGAGUUGGUAGAAACCUGGAAAGCUACUAAAUACAUGAAAAUAAAUUAUGAUAAUAGGAGAAAAGACCCAUUGGAAAAUCUCUACUCAAAGUCUGAUUAACUUUGGAAGCAGUUGGGACUUCAGCUGCUGUUUACCCAUCAAAGUUCUACAGCUGAAAUGUGGGAUAUCAAAAUGUGACAGACACGUGUACACAAAAGAAGAAAAAUAAAUUGUGAAGUUGUUUAUUAGAGAAUAUGGUUAAGUACUGCAAGACAGAACUACAAGAGAAAAGUAUGUGAAGAUAUUUAAGUUAACUUUAAGUCCUUAAACUAAGUCCUUAAACUAAGGACUAAACUAAGUCCUUAACUAAGUCGUAAGAAACUGCUGAGGUGUGGAUAAAGAGGAUCUCCCAAAAAAAUCUAGGACUAAGGAAGAGUUAAUUUAUCCUACCUAAUCAAGGUGUUAAAAG